CAAGUUAAAACAACAACAGUUAGGCCGAAAAGCACAAUUUUAUUUGUUCCUUUUUGGCACUAAUAACAGCAUGCCACGUCAAAAAAGAAGAAAUCAAACGCAAAGGAGUAAUGUCUCCUUUGCUUUUUAUUUACCUCCCCGACUUGGAGAAGUGCCCGGCGCCGAGCUCGCACUUGAACAGCAGGAGGUUGUCGUCUGUCUUUAGCUCCCUCAGCUUCGCCACGAACUUAGCAGGCUCCGAGUACAUCACGCGAGGAUCUGUUUGUCACGGAGUAGUUAGUUGUGUUUGACACGAAAAAUAAUAACAAACAACGAUGGUUAUCGUGUUAUUAUCUCUCUACCCGCCAGAGGAAAAAAAUUUGCGGGCGUGCCAGUGUACUGUAGUACACAAAAAAAAGGAUGCGGGAAAUGAGUAUUUCAUUAAUCUCGUUGGAGAAACAAAAGUACAAGAUCCCGUAAAAAAAAGUGCGCUCCGUGGCCUACUAGCGCGGCCAGCCUGACUAUGGCGAUUACGGUCUCCUGGUUCCCGGCGCCGAGCUCGCACUUGAACAGCAGGAGGUUGUCGUCUGUCUUCAGCUCCCUCAGCUUCGCCACGAACUUAGCAGGCUCCGAGUACAUCACGCGAGGAUC
rnacentral:lncRNA from 1 species